GUGUGUUGCGGUGUCCUCAUUGUGCAUGCUGUGUGUGUGUGUUUAUCCGAGUUCGCCCACAGCGCCUGCAAUGAGGAGGCU
rnacentral:pre_miRNA from 10 species